GUGGGAUGAGCCAUACAACAACAAAAUCACUAGUCUUCCACAGGGCAUCGCGGCCAUCAUCAUCCCAUCACCGCCAUGCAGAUGUCAGCCACCGUCGUGGGGAUGCAGGGUCAGCAGGUGAACAGCAGCAACCUUUGUCUCCAUCCAAGUCAGAAUUGCUUUAAAUUGGACCACGUGAGUGCCCCUCAAUCCCACUGACCAUGGCUUAGCAGAGGACUGCGCUCACCCCACAGUGCAGAGGGAGGAAGAGUUACAGAGGGACAAAAAGGACUGUCCGAUGCAAGGGAGAAUAUGGGAAGCCAGGUGGGAAGGAGAUGCCAAGGGGAGCUCCCUUGGAGAAGCGUGGUGUGGGGCACAGUGCUGGGUGUCGCAGUGCUGCGGUGUGUGCAGAGCAUGCCGGAGCCCAGGGACGUUUCUGCAGCAUUUGUGCUAUUGGAAAUAAUAACAAAAUCAGUAAAACUCGGGGCGGAUCACGGAGUGAAUAACAGGGUGAAUGUGCAGGGUGAAUAAUGUACGAGGCUGGCCCUGCUCCAAGCCUGGGCUCAGACUGAGUGCCGGGUGGCUGUGCCCCCCUCCUGCCCUUGCAAGAAGAGCCUUUGGGUCAUUCUUUGGGCACAGUGUCUGCCCCUGGCUGUCCCUGCUCAUGCCUGCGGGGCUUUCUACAAAGAUAUGGAUCCCUUUGGGAGGAUUUCAGUGAUUUAUGUCUAACGUGGGGCUCUGCAGAGAGUGCCCAUGGGUGGUGUAGGCUGACAGAUGCGUUUGUCCUCCGUCCUCCCCUGUCCCCAGUUGUGUCCCUGCCCAUGUGUGGUGGCUGUAGGCACAGGGAUGGGAUGUUUGGGAUGGGAGCUGAGCGCACGCCAAGUCCCUGCACUGGGAGGUGGCAGCAGCGGCCAAUUAAUGUGAUCAUGUGUAUGAAUGCGGAUCAGCAAUUCCAGGUGAAGUCCCUGAGCGUCGUGCUGAGAUGAACAAAGCUGCUCACCCGGCCAGGACCCCUGCCAGCACCAGUACAUCCCUGCUGUGACUCCAAAAUGUCUCAUUUCCCAAUCCCAACCGCAGCGCAUCUCUAUUUCUCCUAUUAACCACCUGCGUGCUGCUGGCUGUCCCCAUUCCCUGCUUCCUCCCUGGGGUUGGGGACAUCUUAUGACCAUGGGGACAGCGGGUGGGGAGCUCAGGGUGAUGCUGCUAUGGGGCCAUGGGGCAGCAGGGAAGCAAACCCAACCCACCCUGCUUUGCUGGCUCACCCCCAGGAGAGCAGUAAGCAAUUAGGGACUGCACGGAGGCUUCAUUAUAGCUCUGUCAUGGCCUUGUUUGAUGAGACAUUUUAUUGCCAAACUUAUUAAAAGUGAAACGUGCAGUUUCUGCGCAGCAAUUUCCUGUCUGUGGCGAUAAGCUGGGCUGUGCCUGCUGUGUAAUAAACUGUUAUUUUUAUGUAUGGCCCCGGCUGGGGUGGCAGGGAGGAGAGAAGGCUUGUCUAGUGUUAAUUGCAAUGGUUAAUGAGAUCUAUUUUGGGACUUAGGCACAAGGUGGUGCUGCCCUCCCCUGCCAUCGCUCUGCGGCUGUGGUGCCUCCAGUGACUUUGUGCUCUGGGUUUGGGGAUAGGCUCAGAUUCCCCCUUUCUCACCCUUUCUCCUCUUCCUCCCCAAAAAAGCUGGGCCUGGCCAUCUAGGCACACCCAGCCCCAAACCCUUAACUAGAAGUUAGAGAAUAACAGAAUGGCUUAGGGCUGCCCAGAGCCCCAUCCAACCUGGCACUGAGCACCUCUAGGGAUGGGGCACCAACAGCUCUGGGCAAGUCACACAUCUGCUGUGAACCCCCCCUGAUGUGCAUUGAGUUGUCCUAUGUAGAGCCAGGAGUUGGACUCGAUGAUCCCUGUAGUUCCCUUCCAACCUGGGAUAUACUAUGAUUCUAUGAUUCUACCCCAUGCUUUUUGCAUGGAUGAGCAAGGAGGUGCUCCUUGAGGGACGUGGUUCACAAUCCCAGUAUCCCCUAUGCUGCAGCACUGGUCCUACCUGUGUAUCCCAGCAUCCCCAUUGCAUCCCCCAUACCCCAUACAUAGGACUGCUCUUCCUAAAUUGCAACACCUCACAAAUGUCAUCUUGCUCUGUCAGAAACAAAAUGUCCUCUCCAGGUGCAUCUGUUUAAUUACAUCUUUUUAAUACGUUCUGAUUGGGAACUUUUCUUUAAGAUGGAACGUAUCAAAUUAGACUUACAAAAAUCCUGAUUAUUAUUAUUACUUUUUUUCGUAGCUGGCCAAAGAAACCCAUUGAAUUCAAUCUGGGGCCACUCCACUUUUCCUGAUAAACAAUUUGUCAGGAAAAAUUCCCUCUUGGCUCAGGGAGCCACACGAGUUACUUGUCAGCAACCAGAGCCCUGUUGGGUGUUUCCCAUCUGACUUCUCUUCUUAACAGCAGCUUUAUUGGUCUGGGAAUUAAUGAUGGAAAAUGCGAUACUUGCUAUUCAUUGCAUCCAUCCAAAAUGCCACUCAACUCAUCAGGCUGCAGAAGGAAAGUAAAGCACUCUCAAGGCUCCCACAUCCCUGUGUGCCACCGCCAUGCAGCGGCGUCACCCCAAUUUGCUCCCUGAGGUUGGGAGACCACACCAGGUUCCCUGUCCCCAUCUCUGUCCCUGAUCCCUUCCCAGCCCCUCACUGGGUGAACUCCCUCCAUCACCAGCCCCGGCCCUCGUUAAUUUGUAUUGCAGCGUGUGUUGCGGGCUGACGUGUAAUUAGAGCUCCUGAAGCCUGUCUCAUGCUGUAAUUGCCAUGACAGGGGCCACAGCAUAUCCGCUUGUUAAUUAGUAAACCACAAUAUCCCGGGGGCUCAUUGAGAGCUGCCUUAAUUGUAUUUCAGCUGGAACAGAGGGAUAAUUACCCUUCGCUAGCACUGCCACUUUUUAAUACUUUAGAAAUAAAUAAAUAAAUAAAUAUGAAGAAAAAACCCAAACUGAGCUCCUCUUCCUCCUGGCAGCCUCUUCCUCACCCUCUGGAGCACCCUGACCUGGCUUUGCUGCAUCCUUCAAAGCAACCUGACCUGAGUUUCCUUUACCUGCGUUGGGCCAUGUGUGGGCUGGAUGUCACCAACCAGCGUUGUUUUCAGUGCAGAAACUUCAGGAGGAUCCAGGCAAUGGGAUUCCUCAAAUAAUAGAAGCAUUCCCUCCGUUCUUCAGUGUGAAGGGUGUCCCGUAGGGUGCGGAGGUGCUGGGGCUCAGCACUACAGUCAGCUCUUGGUUGGAUCAGAGUUUGGGGAAGGUGAAUCUGGGGAGCGAUGUUACCACUCAGCAUCCAUCCUUUUCCUUCUGCUUCUCCUCCAGCCAACACAAAGAGCUUGGCACCAGCAGCCAGGCAAAUUUGUGCUGUUAAAAAAGUCAUAUAAUGGGCAACCAACCUCUGGGAGACGGUGUGUGAAUUGGUUGAAAUAACAGGCCUGGCUCUCUCUCCUGGGAAGCUUCAUGGAGGUCAGCCUUGAAGAAAAGAGCGGUACAGCAGCUCCGAGCAUUAGCAAGAAGAAAUAACUGAAGCAGAGAGACUUGAACGUAAUUACAGGCUAAGAGCUGUGAUGGGAACUCAGCGACCUGAGCCCAUCUUCUGGACUUCAGUGCAAUCAACAGAUUGACACCACCAGCUCGUGAAGGCUGGUUUCUGGAAGCCGUGUGAUGGUGCUGAAUGCCAGAGCAGGUGGAGAAGCAGCACAGGUGGCUGUUCCAUAGGCUGGAGCUGGGAAAGGGUCUCAAAUGCCACGGAAGAAGCAGAUGGAGGCAACCACUGGAACGCUCCGUGCUUAAUUGAGGGCACCUUCAAGGGUGAGCACAAGGUGCCUGCCCAACACCAGGAUGCUCUGCCGCUGCCAUGUGAGUCGCUGUCAUUAGAACCAAGAGUGGAGUUUAUAGCUGAGUAACCACAACAACUUUGCACAAAUUAAACAGCAUACUGCAGGUUAAUUAGAUUUCUUACUGCUGCCUCAAUUAACUUAGCCCUGUCAUCUGCUGUAAGAAGUGGAUGGAGACCCUUUGAAAUUCACAGGCUCUAUCGCUGGAAGAUGGGAAUGGCCAAACCUCUCCCUGGGCAACCACACCUGUGAGUGGUGUGUGUUUGCAUGGAUGGGCGAUGCCAUCUUCUGUGCCUGGAAACCCCUUUGUGUGACAGGGGAGAACAACACGAGAUGCACUUGUCCUCUGCCAGCAUAGUUACCAAGGAGGAUUUCCCCUCUGGUGUUGUCAAACUCCCCUUGUCAUAAGGCAAUCUUUAAAAAGAAAAAGCAACAACAACAACAACAAAAAAAACAUAUCUGGAGGAAAAGUCUUCCUUUUUAUUUUUUAAAUCAUUCCACACAACGCUGUGUGAAUGCAGAUAAAUAAAAGGGCCCCCUAUGAAAACA